GGAAGGUUCUCUUUCUGGAGAUCAGCUUUGUGGAGCUUUUCAUUGUGAGCCUAAAUCUUUGGAUACAGUGGUGUUUUUAAACAACGGCAACAAAAAGAAAUGGGAAGGGGAAGCAUUAGGAGUUCUGGGCAAAUUGUAUGGCUUUCUGUGUGUGUGGGAACGAUUCGGAAAUUUUAAUCUCUACUACCAGUUUGUUGCUGCUCUGGGAGGAAGAAACAACAACAAGAAAGUGCCUGUUGCACAACGGAUUAUCUUCCACCAUCCUGUAAUUCAGCUGAAGUUGCUGGAAUAACACCAGAGAAUUCCCCCAGAUCCUCACGGAAGAGCUGUGUGCUGCUAUAGGAGCAGGACUGGGAAGUGACGUCUCUUCAUGGGCUGGAAGCUAUGCAAGAGAGGCGGCCAGAACACAGUUGUUUCCCCCAGUGAUGGAAAUCCUGUCCAGAAAUCCAUCCAAAGGCAUCUUCUCUUCACCACAGACCUGUAACCUGGAGGCCACAUUGGUCACUGGCAGAUGUGGGGAUGAAGGCUGUUUUAGGAGGUGUGUUGAGGUUUGUGCUGGCCACAUCACUCAGUUCAUAUUUAAUUGAGACCCUCGUGUUUUCUUCCACUUAGUUAUUUAAUUGGUGUGUAAAUAGCAAUUCUAAAGUAGCCAUAAAUAUUAACAGCAGCUCUUCUUUGAAAUAACUAUCUCCCAUUCAGCCCUUUCUUCUUUAAUAAUGGCCAUCAGUCUUCUAAGAGGUAAAAAGGACAGACUGCCCGUGAACAGAUCCAGACACUAAAUGCUUCUUGCUUUGGUACUCUCCUCACCACACUACGCACUCCUCUUGUAAGCUUAGCUUGCUCUCUCCUUAGUUUUCUCACUUCACUUUACUGUUUUUAUUCUUCUCCCUUCGCUUUCUUGUCACUUUUAGAAAAGCUGGUUCCCCCUUUUCUGUGUAGGUGAGACUAGCUUCAGUAAGAGAGUGUGUGGGUAAAACCACCUUCUGAAUGCACACACACACCUGUGGUGCAUUUAGAUGUGAGUGGAAGGAAGAUAAUUAUAAUUGGAGUUUUAUAGCUUCAGCUGGCUUCACCCUCAUCACUUCUCACCACAGGUAGGUGAGGCAGUAGGUGUUGUUGGGUACUGCUACUGUCCCUCCCUGUCCUUCUUCCUUGUCUCCAGACAAGCCACCUGUAACAUGUUUUUCAGUUCCACGCUCUUCCCACUAGCUUCCAUGCACUGCUAGUGGGUUUAUUACUGUGUGUCCUUCCUGUGGCAGGGAGGAGUGGGAGCCCUGGGGGGCUUUGCAUCACUGGUGGAGGGUAUUCACACCACAAUGCAGCACCCUGGUUUUGUUUGCUGUGGCCGUGCCUUGGGGAUGUGGGUCCUUUCCCUGGGAAGCAGCCAGUGGGACACUGCAGCCCUGGGAACAUGGUGGGACUGGAACUGGAUCUGAUGAUAUUUCUCCUCCUUUGUUUUCACUCAAGUGUGGAACUGGGUCUGCUGCAGAUCUGUGUGCUUUGUGUCAUUUGCUUUGGGGGGGAUCUUUGCUGGGGAUCUGGCCCUUUUUCACUUUAUGACAAACAAGCAGUGCAACAUUCCUGAAGGAUGACUGAAAUGAUGAGGCAAUUAAUUAUAAAGCUGACUUAACUGUGUGCUCAGGUUUAAACAAGUUUACAUCACUAACAUUCCCUGGGUAAUUGUUUUUCAAGGAGCGAGUUUUCUGCAGUGAUGGAAAACAAGGGAAAGGGGCAGGGGAAGCUGGAAGCGUGGUCACCUCUACAGGGAAACCUCAUGGCUUGGGGUUUUAUGCUGGUGGUUGCACCAUGAACUUGGAGAUAGUUCUCAGAAGGAUGGGACCAACAGGGUUUGAAAGCCAGGGUGACUCCCUUAGACAUCCCAGUAGACCCAUUAUCAAACAGGUAACUGAGAGUAGAUGCAAAGGUGCUCUAGGAAAUUAGUUUCUCAUCAACGGUAUCUAGUGUGAAAGACCAGGUGGUUCUCUAGAGCUCUGUGGAGUCAAAGACCUUGCUACUACCUAUCAUGGCUGGAGGCAUGUAAACAAACAGACACGUUCAGGUGUUCCUUGCCUGUGGCAGCCACACCUUCCAAUAUUGCUGAAUUUUUGUAAAAUUCAGGCUGAAAUGGAUGUGUGGAAGAGUCAGUUAAUAGUGAUCUCUUAAAAAAAGGAGCAGGAGCAAAAUGUAUGUGAUGCAUAAAAGGCACUGGAAAGCACAGGAUGCAUGGGAAAGGACACCUUUUGAAUUAUUUAUGUAAUUGUAUGUCUUUGUAACCAGUACCUUCUACUGCUGCUGUCCUUUGGACUUUAUUACCCCUGUUGGAAGCUGGUUUCUGUGGAGCCAUUACAUCAGUGAGUAAGUCCUAAUCAGGCCGCAAAAGAUGAUUACUUCACAGAGAGCUGUGUGUCUGUGUCUGAGCAGAGUCAGCCACCUGCAACAAAAAGGAAAAAAAAAAUUACUUUGUGCUGAUGUCUGCCCUUAGAGGUUUGAAGACAAGGUGGAAUAAAGAGAGUUGUUCAGGUAUUCAACUGCAGCAAAGAGCAAGUUAGGUCCAUGUCACUCAUUAAGGUUAGAAUGCAUUGUAAUUCUGAUUUCUGGCUCUGUUUUCAUUUAUACCCUAUCUGUAGAUGUAUCUAAUAAACACUAGUGGAAG
rnacentral:lncRNA from 7 species